rnacentral:rRNA from 1 species
AUUGAACGCUGGCGGCAGGCCUAACACAUGCAAGUCGAACGGUAACAGGAAACAGCUUGCUGUUUCGCUGACGAGUGGCGGACGGGUGAGUAAUGUCUGGGAAACUGCCUGAUGGAGGGGGAUAACUACUGGAAACGGUAGCUAAUACCGCAUAACGUCGCAAGACCAAAGAGGGGGACCUUCGGGCCUCUUGCCAUCGGAUGAGCCCAGAUGGGAUUAGCUAGUAGGUGGGGUAACGGCUUACCAAGGCAACGAUCCCUAGCUGGUCUGAGAGGGUGACCAGCCACACUGGAACUGAGACACGGUCCAGACUCCUACGGGAGGCAGCAGUGGGGAAUAUUGCACAAUGGGCGCAAGCCUGAUGCAGCCAUGCCGCGUGUAUGAAGAAGGCCUUCGGGUUGUAAAGUACUGUCAGCGGGGAGGAAGGAAGUAAAGUUAAUACCUUUACUCAUUGACGUUACCCGCAGAAGAAGCACCGGCUAACUCCGUG